AGCCAUUAGCUCAGUCGGUAGAGCAUCUGACUUUUAAUCAGAGGGUCGAAGGUUCGAGUCCUUCAUGGCU
rnacentral:tRNA from 1 species